rnacentral:rRNA from 1 species
GAUGAACGCUAGCGGCAGGCCUAAUACAUGCAAGCUGAACGGCAAGAUUUGUAGCAAUACGAGUCCUAGAGUAGCGUAAGGGUGCGUAACACGUAUGCAAUCUGCCCGCAACAGGAGGAUAGCUUAGCGAAAGUUGAGAUAAGACUCCAUAAGAUCACGAGAGGGCAUCUGAUUGUGAUUAAACUACAAGGGGUUGCGGAUGAGCAUGCGUCUGAUUAGUUAGUUGGCGGGGUAACGCCCACCAAGACGAUGAUCAGUAGGGGAACUGAGAGGUU